GGUGAAGCAUAUCUUCCCUUUGGCUUCACCUGCACAAGUGCCAAGUUUUUCUUAUUUGUCAUCAUUGACACCUACAAGCAGUGAGGAGGUCCUACCAAAGGUGAUUUACAAGGCCACAAACCUCAAAGACUGCAGCAGGAUGCGGGCCA